rnacentral:lncRNA from 1 species
UGACACCAAAAGGAUGACAGUGGGAUUGGACUUUCCAAAGGUUACCAUCACCAAAAGGAUGAUAGCUUAAACCAGACUCCAUAACCUCUAUCACCCAAAAGGAUGAUAUUUAGAUCGAACUGGACUUCAUCACCAAAAGGAUGAUGUUUAGACAUAACAACAGAGAUUACCCUCAAUGGGAGGAUGAUGGUUGAACCAAAAUAACAAGGAUCCUUAUCACCA